UAGUUAAACGGCCGCGGUAUCCUGACCGUGCAAAGGUAGCAUAAUCACUUGUUCUUUAAUUAAGGACUCGCAUGAAUGGCUUCACGAGAGCUUAACUGUCUCCUGACCUAAAUCAGUGAAAUUGACUUUCCCGUGAAAAGGCGGGAAUACUAUAAUAAGACGAGAAGACCCUAUGGAGCUUUAGUAUAAAAACUAAGACCAAUUUAUAAUAACCUAAGGGUAUAUAAAUAAGUUAACUAGUUAUAAACUUUGGUUGGGGUGACCUCGGAGAAUAAAAGAACCUCCGAAUGAUUCUAAUCUUAGACCCACAAGUCAAAGUAUGAUCAUUUAUUGACCCAGUAAAUUCUACUGAUCAACGGAACAAGUUACCCUAGGGAUAACAGCGCAAUCCUAUUCAAGAGUUCAUAUCGACAAUAGGGUUUACGACCUCGAUGUUGGAUCAGGACAUCCCAAUGGUGUAACAGCUAUUAAAGGUUCGUUUGUUCAACGAUUAAAGUCCUACGUGAUCUGAGUUCGGACCGGAGUAAUCCAGA
rnacentral:rRNA from 1 species